UAAGGAAUAUUGGUCAAUGGACGGAAGUCUGAACCAGCCAUGCCGCGUGCAGGAAGACGGCCCUACGGGUUGUAAACUGCUUUUGUACCGGAAUAAACCUCGAUUCGUGAAUCGAGCUGAAUGUACGGUAAGAAUAAGGAUCGGCUAACUCCGUGCCAGCAGCCGCGGUAAUACGGAGGAUCCGAGCGUUAUCCGGAUUUAUUGGGUUUAAAGGGUGCGUAGGCGGCCUAUUAAGUCAGGGGUGAAAGACGGUAGCUUAACUAUCGCAGUGCCUUUGAUACUGAUAGGCUUGAAUGUACUUGAGGUAGGCGGAAUGUGACAAGUAGCGGUGAAAUGCAUAGAUAUGUCACAGAACACCAAUUGCGAAGGCAGCUUACUAAAGUAUGAUUGACGCUGAGGCACGAAAGCGUGGGGAUCAAAC
rnacentral:rRNA from 1 species